rnacentral:tRNA from 1 species
GCCUGUAGCUCAAUGGUAGAGCACUUGCCUGACAUGUGCCAGGCACUGGGUUCAAUUCCCAGUAAUGCG